CCCACCUCUAAUAAUGUACAUUUGGGUAGGGCUUUAUGCUUCAUUAUAUACUUUUGCUAUUUCAUUUGAGCCUCACAUUAACCCUUUGAAGUCGCGGAUUUUUGCUGGAGGAAUAAGUAAAUGAUUACCAAGGGUAAGUCAUUCCAUUGCACACCCUGCACUGUAGAGGGGCCAGUGGUGGUGAGCAACUUCACUCUUUCCAGAGUCUGAGGCUCAGACAGAAGAAUUUGGCUUUAAUUUCAGUUGCAUGCAUGGCCUACCCUGUUUAAUGUACAUUCACCAUGGGGUAUUUCUCAGGUCUUCUGGCUCCUAGGUACUCCUCUUUACAACACACUAAGAGAGAAUCAUCCAACUCUGUCUAGCCAAAAGCUUUCCCUCAUCUUCUUGAAGUUCUCCUGAGCCUUUGGGAACUAAGACUCUAAUGCACAGAGUUGGGUUGGUUGGGACCACCCUUUCUCAGAUUAGAUGAGGUGGAGACUUGCCUUAAUGUCGUUCUUUUCUUCUUUUCAGAUUGGCUCUACCAGUGCUCCUGGACAGGGAGGAAUCCUGGCUCAGCGGGAGUUUGACAGGCGAUUCUCCCCUCAUUUUCUGGACUGGGCAGCCUUUGGGGUCAUGACCCUUCCCUCCAUCGGCAUCCCCCUGCUAUUGUGGUACUCCAGCAAGAGGAAAUAUGACACUCCCAAAACGAAGAAGAACUGAGUGGGGCUUCCACAGCCCUCCGCUCCCAAGAAAUCCAGGCUCCUCUCCCAAGAAAUCCAGGUGCUUUCCAGACUCCAGAGGGUAUCUUAAAUGCAAUCUCUUCUCUCUUAGCCCUUGGCCACUUUCUCCUGGAUCCUGCCCUGCUCUCAGCCAUAGUGAAGGACCAGGCCUAGGAGUCUGUGAGAGCCUCCUUGGUUCCAUGUGAAGCCAUAAACAGGAAUGCCUUUGGCAAUAGCCUUGAGCCUAGAGGGCCCUCUGAUGCCCCACUGAGGUGCUGUUGGUUUAUUGCUGGCAAUGUGAAUUCUCUCAGGGGUCUAGGAGGGGCAUUUCUGAGACUGCCUGACACCACCCCCAUCCCCUGCCCCCCGCUCUCAGAAGAGGGUAGAAGAUGAAAUGAAAGCUAUGGGACUCUUGGAGGAUACCUAGUGUCUAUUCUGGGUUAGAGAAGUGCUUACUAAGGGGUUUUCUAAUAAAAACAAAUGCCACAUUGA